GAGUUUGAUCAUGGCUCAGAACGUACGCUGGCGGCACGCCUAACACAUGCAAGUCGAACGAAGUAGCAAUACUUAGUGGCAGACGGGUGAGUAACAUGUAGGUAUCUGCCCUUUGGCCUGGAAUAACACGAGGAAACUUGUGCUAGUACCGGAUAAGUCUUUACGGAGAAAGCUUUAUGCACCAUCGGAUGAGCCUGCACUUGAUUAGUUUGUUGGUGGGGUAAUGGCCUACCAAGACUGUGAUCAAUAGCUGAUUUGAGAGGAUGAUCAGCCACAUUGGGACUGAGACACGGCCCAAACUCCUACGGGAGGCAGCAGUGGGGAAUCUUGCACAAUGGAGGAAACUCUGAUGCAGCGAUGCCGCGUGAGUGAAGAAGGCCUUUGGGUUGUAAAGCUCUUUCGUCGGGGAAGAAAAUGACUGUACCCGAAUAAGAAGGUCCGGCUAACUUCGUGCCAGCAGCCGCGGUAAUACGAAGGGACCUAGCGUAGUUCGGAAUUACUGGGCUUAAAGAGUUCGUAGGUGGUUGAAAAAGUUAGUGGUGAAAUCCCAGAGCUUAACUCUGGAACUGCCAUUAAAACUUUUCAGCUAGAGUAUGAUAGAGGAAAGCAGAAUUUCUAGUGUAGAGGUGAAAUUCGUAGAUAUUAGAAAGAAUACCAAUUGCGAAGGCAGCUUUCUGGAUCAUUACUGACACUGAGGAACGAAAGCAUGGGUAGCGAAGAGGAUUAGAUACCCUCGUAGUCCAUGCCGUAAACGACGUGUGUUAGACGUUGGAAAUUUAUUUUCAGUGUCGCAGGGAAACCGAUAAACACACCGCCUGGGGAGUACGACCGCAAGGUUAAAACUCAAAUGAAUUGACGGGGACCCGCACAAGUAGUGGAGCAUGUGGUUUAAUUCGAAGAUACGCGCAGAACCUUACCAACACUUGACAUGUUCGUCGCGACUCUAAGAGAUUAGAGUUUUCGGUUCGGCCGGACGAAACACAGGUGCUGCAUGGCUGUCGUCAGCUCGUGUCGUGAGAUGUUGGGUUAAGUCCCGCAACGAGCGCAACCCUCACUUUUAGUUGCCAUCAUUAAGUUGGGCACUCUGAAAGAACUGCCAGUGAUAAGCUGGAGGAAGGUGGGGAUGACGUCAAGUCCUCAUGGCCCUUACGUGUUGGGCUACACACGUGCUACAAUGGUAUCUACAACAGGAAGCAAGACUGCGAAGUUAAGCAAAUCCCUAAAAGAUACCUCAGUUCGGAUUGCACUCUGCAACUCGAGUGCAUGAAGCUGGAAUUACUAGUAAUCGUGGAUCAGCGUGCCACGGUGAAUGCGUUCCCGGGUCUUGUACACACCGCCCGUCACACCAUGGGAGUUGGUUCUACCUUAAGGCAAGGUUUCAAACCCUUGACCACGGUAUAGUCAGCGACUGGGGUGAAGUCGUAACAAGGUAACC
rnacentral:rRNA from 1 species